UACGGAGGGGGCUAGCGCUGUUCGGAAUUACUGGGCGUAAAGCGCACGUAGGCGGAUCAGAAAGUCAGAGGUGAAAUCCCAGGGCUCAACCUUGGAACUGCCUUUGAAACUCCUGGUCUUGAGGUCGAGAGAGGUGAGUGGAAUUCCGAGUGUAGAGGUGAAAUUCGUAGAUAUUCGGAGGAACACCAGUGGCGAAGGCGGCUCACUGGCUCUAUACUGACGCUGAGGUGCGAAGGCGUGGGGAGCAAACAGG
rnacentral:rRNA from 1 species